ACGACUGGAGGGCAACUGAACCGUAAGAGCAAGGCCAAUAGGGAGAGAGAGCUGAUCUAUGAAUCUGUUUUCUUAUAUGAAAAUAUGAAUUGAUUUAAACAAAAAUAAUAAGAAAAUCUCCAAAUUUUAAUUUCUUUUAUUCCCACUCCCGUCUUCUUCAAAUCGUUUUUGAGAUUUGAAUUUCGAGAGAUUCAGAGUUACAUGAAGCUGACGUUGUUAACGUUAGAAAUCGAAGAUGAGAAGCGUAAGCGACAGCGUCCAGACCGUCAACGCCGCUGCCACAGCCAUCGUCUCCGCCGACUCCAGAGUCCAGCCUUCAACCGUUCAGGUCACAUGUUUAUGAAUAAGAAAAGAUGGGGAAGCUGCUGGAGUUUUUACUGGUGUUUUGGAUCUCACAGAAGCAGUAAGCGAAUAGGUCAUGCUGUUCUUGUCCCCGAAGCAGUGGUACCUGGAGUUGCAGUUGUAGCUGCUCAAAAUGCAAGUAAUCCAACUGGCAUUCUAUUGCCCUUUAUUGCCCCUCCCUCGUCUCCUGCAUCAUUUCUCCAAUCAGAUCCUUCUUCUGCCACCCAGUCGCCUGCUGGAUUGCUAUCCCUAGCAUCGCUUUCAGUUAAUGCCUACUCCCCCCGUGGACCUGCAUCUAUUUUUGCCAUUGGCCCUUAUGCACAUGAAACCCAGUUAGUCACGCCACCUGUAUUCUCUGCCUUGGCAACUGAACCAUCUACUGCUCCUUUUACACCCCCUCCCGAAUCAGUUCAAGUGACCACACCUUCAUCCCCUGAAGUACCAUUUGCUAAAUUGCUGACAUCUUCAUUGGAGCGUGCUCAGAGAAAUAGUGGGAUCAAUCAGAAAUUUGGGUUAUCCCAUUACGAAUUUCAGUCUCAUCAAAUAUGCCCUGUGUCACCUGGUGGUAAUCUCAUAUCACCUGGGUCUGUAAUCUCUAAUUCUGGCACAUCCUCUCCAUUUCCUGAUAGACGUCCCAUCCUUGAGUUGCGCAAAGCGGAGGCUCCUAAAAUCUUAGGCUUUGAACAUUUUACUACUAGCAAAUGGGGUUCAAGGCUCGGCUCUGGAUCAUUAACUCCAGAUGGACUGGGGCAAAGUCCAACACUGGGUUCUGGAUGUAUGACUCCAGAUGGUAUGGGGUUGGAUUCAGGAUCAUGGACACCUGAUGGUUUGCCUCCUUCCUCACGAGACGGUUUUGUUUUGGAGAGUCAGAUUUCUGAGGUAGCGUUGUUUUCGAAUACAGAGAAUGGACCUAAAAAUGAUGAAACUAUAGUUGACCACAGGGUCUCUUUUGAGUUGAGUGGUGAAGAUGUUGCACGCUAUCUUGACAGCAAGUCAUUUAUAUCAAAUAGAACCAUGUCAGAAUGUCCGAAGGACUUGGUUGCAGGGGGCAGGAUAUAUAGAGAUGGAAUGACAAAAGAUCUAGAAAGUUCUUGUAAGUUGUUUAGCAGGGAAACUUCCAAUGAAACAGUUGAAAAAGCUUCAGGAGAAUCUGAAGAGGAGCAUUGUUAUCAAAAGCAUCGUUCUGUUACACUUGGGUCAAUUAAAGAGUUCAAUUUUGACAGUGCAAAAGGAGAAGCUUCUGAUAAUCCUAGCAUCAGGUCCGAGUGGUGGGCCAAUGAAAAAGUUGCCGGAAAGGAAGUUAAGCCUGAUGGUGGAGUGAAGACCAGGUUUCAGAGUUCAGAGAACCUUUAUUCCCAAUGGCCUGAAAGAUUAUCCAAUGAAAAGUUCCAAGGCAUCAACAGUAACUACAAUGCUUCAGCACCCUUUCAACAACAUUUGGUCAUACAUUUCAGUUUGCUAGUUCGUUCGUUCAUUCUUUCAUUUUCUUUUAAGAGAUUUGCUAGUUCAUUCUUAUUCUUUCGGAUUUCUUUUUCCAGCCGCAUUCAGAAACUUGUGCUAUGUUAUUAACCUUGCUGAGGCGUGUAUAAUGGGUUGAGUUAGUCUCAAGUUGCAGCAAAAGAAGGAAUUUUAACCUCUGAAUCCAGAAUUAACGAAAUAGCUUGCACCCGAAGCAGUUCGUUAUCAACAAUGGACGGUAGGUAUCGGCUGUUUUGCUCAUUCAACAAUCUUAAUGCUGAAAUCCCAUAAUUUCUUGGGCAAUUUAACAUCCCUUCCAUGUCACUUGCUUGGUCUAUACUACUGUUCUUGAAAUAUUGACCACUUUUACCCUUCACUUCUGGAUGCAUCGUGGCAGCUCCCUGUAAUCAGAUAAAAGAAGAAAUAUAUAAUGAGAAAAUAUGUUCUAAUGUUCUAUAUAACUCGAACUUUUCAUAUAUAUGUAUUAGAAAAUAAUCAUAUUUGACAGACUUUUGAACAUUAAUAUAGAGUAUGGUUUUCCGCGA